rnacentral:lncRNA from 1 species
AGAGAAAUAUGAAGAUUCACAAUUAGAGUUGAAACUCCAAAUUGUGAUAAUAAUUAUCAGAGCCAUACCACUGAAAAAUAUAACUACUCUUUUAUCUUUUUUUCUUUACUCAUAAAGCUAAUCAUGUAGGAUUUGAUGACACCAUCUCAGUGGUUCUCAACCACGACAGCACUGUCAGCAAACGGUGUUUGGUGAUGCUGGGGUAUAUUUUUGGUUGUCUGGGAGUAUAUUUAGUGCCCAAUGCCCCAAUCCUAUGUGCCAGGCCCACCCAAUAAAACAAUUAAAUACAAAAAGCCCAUGGCAUUGUCCCUUCCUUCACCAAGAAACUUAGCUAAACCUGGCAGUUGUAGAGUUCCACAUCUCAUUUUUUUCCCCAUAAACAUAAUUACCCAAGUCAAAAGAUGCAUUUUCAGAAUUACAACUACUUAUGCAAUCUGAAUUUUGUCAAUUCAUGUCAUUUAUCUUAAAUCCUUACUUAUGGAAAUUGUUUCUUUCCCCUGAAGAAUGCUGGUAGAAAGUUUUUAUGAAACAGCUAAAUUUACUAAGAGAGAGGGGCAAGGUGUUAGUCUCCUGUUACACUGAUUUCACAAUAAAUAAAAAAGAAAAAUAUCACAGUUCUGCGAAGUAGCCAGGUUAACUUAAAAGGACAUGUUUCUUUAACGGGAGAGAUCUAAAAUGAUUUCUCAUGGCACUAUGAUGUACACGACGUUGUUUUUCAGAGGUUCCACUGGAGUGGGAAGAAUUCCAUGAAAGAUCAUUUUAAAACUUAUUUUGAGUUAAACCUUGAUCCUUUUUUUUUUUCAAUAUACUAGACUUUGACACACUGCCUCUUGAGACUAGCAGAAUCUACUAUUCCAUAUACAUAAUAGAGCAUACUUUUUCUAUAAUCAGGUACCUUUUGCUGCUUUGGGAUAAGACUGUUUUCCUGUUUAGAUUUUAAGCAUUGCCAGAGAGAAGAAGCUGUUCUGUUCUUUUGAUUGUGGCACAGCCUGAUAGCUCUAGCUGCAGCCCCUCUGAUGAGGAAUGAGUGCCUACCAGGACAUCUGGGCAACUAGCUAUGUUUCCUCGGACUCCAGCUUAGUUGGCACUCCAUUGCCUGUGAGGAGCUUUCUGGCAUGUGAUUAUUUACUUCAGAAUUAGAGUUUCAGGCACCUACGUUGACUGUUUUAUAUCGUGUGCAGAAUAAUACAUCUUUUAAUGUCAGAUACAAUACACUGCACAUAUUGCUUUUGCACUGUUUUAAAAUUUUUGUACUAAAUGAUAGAAAAUAUUUAUAUUCUUUGAGUGUGAGCUUUGAAUAGAUGGUAUUAUCACUUUAUUGUUUUUUUUUUUUUUUAACAAAACGUUUUUCUCAAAUAUUCUAUUGCAAUGUUAUUCUGAGCAAGUCGUAUGCCAAAAUCUUGUAUCAUGUUUGUAUGGAAGAUUAAAUUUUACUCUUGUGUGGUAAGACUACUCAGUUAUUGAGUUCAUUGUUGGAAUUUGAUAUUCCAACACAAAGCCCACUAUGUAUUCAGAAAUCCAAGUUGGUGUCAUACAUUUCAUUUUGAUGUGAACUUUUCUUUGCUUUCCUUUGUUUCAAGACUCCAUUUUGCAAUAAACGUUUUGACAGUAAA